UUAAGCCAAUAUAAUUAAUUCCUUGAGAUAUUCUCGUCCCUAGAUUUUGUUCAGAGAAAUGAAAACUUAUUAGAGCCCCAGCUGUUAUGAAAUAAUAAACAAAUAUGAUCUUACCGUCCAGCAACUGUUUUAAAUCCUUAGGAAGAAAUCCAAGAGGAACAAAUUAUUGUGCGGUUAAAUUAUAACCACAGUUUUUUUUAAUUCACAGGAGAGACUACAAGAAAGAAUUUCAGAACAUUUGACACAUGUUUUUUAGGGAGAUUGAGUUAUUCACUGUUCCAGGGGAAAAAGGGAAAUGAAGAGAUUGAAAUUAAGAAUAAUCCGAACGACAGCCUUACAUAACUUAUAUUAAGAAAAAAGUGUUAAAAGAGUUUAUCGGUGAUUAAUUGACGAAGACGAACCUUUCUCCUAAUCCGUAACGACGAGUCGAAUUUGCUGAAAUGCAUCGUUGAUAAUCUAGAAUUUUCUUGCCAUUUCGAAUCUCCUACGUUAGGGAGAAAGAGGGAAGACACUGGAAAAUUUCUUUGAAAAUCUAAUAAUAGACAGAAAAAAACCAACGA